CCUACGGGAGGCAGCAGUGGGGAAUUUUGGACAAUGGGGGCAACCCUGAUCCAGCAAUGCCGCGUGAGUGAAGAAGGCCUUCGGGUUGUAAAGCUCUUUUGUCAGGGAAGAAACGGUGAGUUCUAAUACAGCUUGCUAAUGACGGUACCUGAAGAAUAAGCACCGGCUAACUACGUGCCAGCAGCCGCGGUAAUACGUAGGGUGCAAGCGUUAAUCGGAAUUACUGGGCGUAAAGCGUGCGCAGGCGGUUUUAUAAGUCUGAUGUGAAAUCCCCGGGCUCAACCUGGGAACUGCAUUGGAGACUGUAAGGCUAGAGUGUGUCAGAGGGGGGUAGAAUUCCACGUGUAGCAGUGAAAUGCGUAGAUAUGUGGAGGAAUACCGAUGGCGAAGGCAGCCCCCUGGGAUAACACUGACGCUCAUGCACGAAAGCGUGGGGAGCAAACAGGAUUAGAUACCCUGGUAGUCCACGCCCUAAACGAUGUCUACUAGUUGUCGGGUCUUAAUUGACUUGGUAACGCAGCUAACGCGUGAAGUGACCGCCUGGGGGAGGUACGGUCGCGAGAAGUUAAACGUUAAAAGUAAAGUUAGUACGGCGUGAGACGUAGCCGACGGACGACGACGAGGGAGGAGG
rnacentral:rRNA from 1 species